CCAGAAGUAGAUAGUCUAACCCUCGGGAGGACGUUUACCACGGAGUGAUUCAUGACUGGGGUGAAGUCGUAACAAGGUAGCCCUAGGGGAACCUGGGGCUGGAUCACCUCCUUA
rfam:Pseudoalteromonas porphyrae strain TCD-SED14 scaffold_75, whole genome shotgun sequence.